AGGAUGAAUGAAACACAUUUGUCAAAGUUGAAUUGUUGGCCAAAGGUAAUAGAUAUAAAUCUCAACACUGCUUGACCAUACAUAACAUUAGUGUAUAGCUAUUCUAUAUAGAUACUAUUUAUUGAAAGUACGAAAUGUACAAAGUCGUUUUUGUUGUUGUAUUUUUGAGUACAUGUCUUGCCAUGCCUCGAUUUAGAAGGAAUACAUGGAGAACGUCGUCACAAAUAAAGAGAGCACCGACCGAGUCUUCAGAUACCAACAUAAUGUAUACCCUAUUAAUGAACGAGAUGUACAUGUAUUUAAACGCCGAUCCGGCCACUGGAAUUACUGCAAGUGAUGUAACUCGUUUCUUUGAAGAAGUUAUUGGAAAGGAUACCAGAAUGGCUGAAAAUUUUGGAGUAGAUUACAUUUUCUGGGGAGACCAAAAUGGUGAUCAUCGACUUAAUCGAACUGAACUUCUAAGAGCAAUGAAAAUUCACAAAGUUUUUGAAUACAUAUGAACGUCAGCAACCACGUGACGUAUUGCCUUCCUUUUGUUGGCAAUGAAUUGUUCUCAGAAACUGUUGACAUGGAACCAUUUUAUGAUCGGCAUCUUAGCUUUUCCUGCCUUCAGCUUUCCUUCUUUGUUGUUGUUGGCUGUAGACCGAGCUAUUCCAAAGAUUGGUCAUGACAGAUUUCCAGUGUUGAAAGUGUGUUUCUGUUGGCUUGUAAAAUCGUCUAUGUUUUUUUCGUUGAUUUUACAUUUGCAUUCGACAAUCACGCUGUGUGAGUUUAGUUUUGGUUUUAAACUUGUUUAGAUCGUUUGUUUUAGGUUGUUUUGUGAUUGUGUAUUUUACACACGUACUGUGUGUGCUUUUGAACUGAAAUCCAUGCGCUAGAAUGUGAUUAAGAAUCAACAAGAUUCAGAAAAGAUGAGAAUACGAAGUUUUUUAAGCAUGGGAUUUGUGUUUACAUUGCUUUUAAGCUGUAUUUAUUUGGUGCAUUACAUGCAAAUAUUAUUUAUUAUUUAUUUAUUUAAAGUUGUUAUUAUACGUGUGAACAAAAUGUAUGUGUUAAUACAAAUGAUACGACUGUGAUAUACUUUGGUAAUAUUUAUUUAAACUUACAUUUUCUGUCUUCAUCUUUAAAAGUCAUUGUUGUUUGUUAUUUCAUAGUUUCUUUUCUAACUUCAUAGUUUGUUUCCUUUUUUAGAUUUUUAUCCAUUUGUCAUUUACUUCCAUGUUACAUUAUUCCAUCUUUGGUCAACGGUUUAUCCUUUUUCUGCCAAAAAAGUUUCUAUUUGUUAGUAUAGAACUUAACAUCGUGUUUAUUGCAUGUAAAUGAACACCGUUAUUAUCAUUUUCCAAUUCUGAAUUAUUUCAUAUAUAUCCUUUUCUAAAUAUUUUAGUCUUGUAAUCCUUGUUACUAUUUUCAUAACAAAAAAAGUAAUAAAAUGUACUUUCAACAGUUAAGACAAUAAGAUUUCUUAAACAUUUUCUAUAUAAAGUGUGAUGCUUUUGGGGAGGGGGACUCAUACAAGGAAACGUAACGUUUAGGGUUUAUGAUCGGUAUCUUCAAUUCAAAAUUUAUUAAGAAAUGAAUGACAAUAAAUAGAAUUUAAAACUUUACCAUCCCCAAUCCCUCUCAAUUAGGAUUGUGUCAUCUUUCUAAUUUUUUUUUUUUUAAAUAUGGAAUCACUAGGCAAUUAAUUUUUAUUUUAAAGUAUUCAAUUAUAACGAUUAAAAAUCUGAUACAAUUUUUCUAUCUAAAAAUAAGGUAAAUAUCUAUGUUAAAAAUAUUAACGUCUUUAUAUGCAUACCGCAUUGUUUUUAUUAGUUUUUCUCAGAUUUCAUUGUUUUUGUAGAAGAAUGAAGAAGAAGAAUUAUGCUUAAGGUUUCCGCGUACAGUUUUUUUAAUAGGGGUCACACAACCAAUUCACUUCAUCGCAUUUAGAACAUAUGUAAAAGUAGCCCAACUCUAACAAAACAUACAGUGCCUUUUAAUGUUUUUUUUCUCUUUAACUGGCCAAUCAAUUUUCACGAAUGAAACUUUUCUGAAUGAAAAAUAUAUUUUGAUCAUUUUGAGUCCAAAUUUACUUAUGCAUUUACCUGGAUUAAAAUUUUAGGGUAGAUGUGCAAAUUAGAAUGCUGAUUCAAAUUAAAAAAAACAGUGUGCUAUUUUUAGCAGUUGGUGAGUUCGGGAAUGUAAGGUUUCACUAAAAGACUUCAAACAUGGGUUGAACAUUGGCAUGUAGAAAGUUGAUACAUGUAUUAUUCAGGAUAUACAUUGUUUUCAUGGAUUUAAACUUAAAGUAAAAUAUUUAAAAAGCUGUGAAAAUUGGAAAAAAAAUUGGUUGAAUAUAUAGGAUUUUUAAUUGAUGGUGUGGCACCAAUACUAACAUUCUGGGUUUUUAAGCCAUCACGUGGUUUACUAUGGUACGGAUCCAUAAAAUGAGAACCUCUUUAAUGGGAAUCAUAUUUAUUCCUUUAAUCUGGCAGCUGAAUUGUAAAUGUCACUUUUUAGAUUUUUUUUAAUAACAAACGAUCUGAAAGAUGUUUGAAUAAAAUGUAUAAACUUUUUGUACACACGAGGGCGGUACAAAAAUUUCGUUAAUCGAUUGUAUUUUAUGUUUGUAAAAACAGGUUUCUUCAUCGCGUGCUUGUUGGUUGCGAUUAACAGAAAUAAAUGAAAAGAAAUAUAUUUUAAACAUCCUCAUAUAGUAUCCACAACGCUGAUGGUAAUGUACAAUUAGAUUAAAUCAUUUGUUUUCUUUUGGGGAUAUUUUGUGUUGUUGCUUAACCUGUCAAUCAUUACUUUUAUUCAUAUUUUUGAAACCUGUGCCUCUUAUUUAGGGUCAUCCUUGUCAUCAUCCCUAAGUGCCCUUUGUUAGAUAGAAAAUCUUCAGUAGAACGGUUUUACCCGUUUCCAUAAUAUAGAGAACGAUGUUUGUAAAAAAUCAAAACAAAGUUUUGCAUGCCUACAAGACAAAUCAUCUUUCAAUGAUAUUCCAUAUUUUCGUCUGUUUGGUUGAUCGCAUGAAACCUCAAGAACAGGAGAUUAUAGUUGGGGAUUUGUUUAAUGAAUUAUUUUCUGGGAUCAAAUAAGCUAAUGAUUUGAAACUUUACGAAUGAGAUGGUGACCAGCAGAUCAUUUGUUAAGAUUUUCAUUCAGUUGCGAUUAAAUAACAAACAUCGAAGCUAUAAUAAAACUGAGUACUUCAUGCUUUGAUGAGCUUUUACCUUUAUUUUUAUUACACUGUAGCUUUGCUAACAAUUUCUAUCUCCGUGCUUAUCGUCAAGCCACCAAACAAUCCAUAGACAUAUCUGGCAUAGAUCUGUUUUUUUUUUGCAUGCUAGGCAAACUUUGUCAAGAUCAUCAAGAAAAAUAUAUGUAUAUGUUUUUAUUUAUAUCAACAAUUUAAUUGAAAAUAGAUUUUAUGUCACUAAGCAAACUUUCAUGAAAUUGUUUCUGUUUUCGUUUUAAAAAUUUCGAUAGUCAAUAACUUUACUAACAUGGCAAUUGAAAAGUUCUGCAUUUGGUGUUUUCAUUUAUAAAAGAAAGACAUGACAACGAGAAACAAUUUUCUGUUAAGUUUGAUUUAGAACUGUGUUGACGAUAAGCCUCAUGAAUUAUGAAACUUAUAAGAAUAGAUCUUGCAUCAAAUAGUGCAUGCUCUGUUUUAUUAUUGUUUGUUUGCACGUGUCUUGUGAGGCCUGUUCGUGACAGGCUUCCUUUCAUUGAAUUUUUUAAAAUGUAAAUUUGCUCAAUUUAAUAAAAUCAUAUAAUUUA